rnacentral:rRNA from 1 species
GCGCCGUAUUAGCUAGUUGGUGGGGUAACGGCCUACCAAGGCGACGAUACGUAGCCGACCUGAGAGGGUGAUCGGCCACACUGGAACUGAGACACGGUCCAGACUCCUACGGGAGGCAGCAGUAGGGAAUCUUCCGCAAUGGGCGAAAGCCUGACGGAGCAACGCCGCGUGAGUGAUGAAGGUCUUCGGAUCGUAAAGCUCUGUUGUUAGGGAAGAACAAAUGUGUAAGUAACUGUGCACAUCUUGACGGUACCUAACCAGAAAGCCACGGCUAACUACGUGCCAGCAGCCGCGGUAAUACGUAGGUGGCAAGCGUUAUCCGGAAUUAUUGGGCGUAAAGCGCGCGUAGGCGGUUUUUUAAGUCUGAUGUGAAAGCCCACGGCUCAACCGUGGAGGGUCAUUGGAAACUGGAAAACUUGAGUGCAGAAGAGGAAAGUGGAAUUCCAUGUGUAGCGGUGAAAUGCGCAGAGAUAUGGAGGAACACCAGUGGCGAAGGCGGCUUUCUGGUCUGCAACUGACGCUGAUGUGCGAAAGCGUGGGGAUCAAACAGGAUUAGAUACCCUGGUAGUCCACGCCGUAAACGAUGAGUGCUAAGUGUUAGGGGGUUUCCGCCCCUUAGUGCUGCAGCUAACGCAUUAAGCACUCCGCCUGGGGAGUACGGUCGCAAGACUGAAACUCAAAGGAAUUGACGGGGACCCGCACAAGCGGUGGAGCAUGUGGUUUAAUUCGAAGCAACGCGAAGAACCUUACCAAAUCUUGACAUCCUUUGACCGCUCUAGAGAUAGAGUUUUCCUCUUCGGAGGACAAAGUGACAGGUGGUGCAUGGUUGUCGUCAGCUCGUGUCGUGAGAUGUUGGGUUAAGUCCCGCAACGAGCGCAACCCUUGAACUUAGUUGCCAUCAUUCAGUUGGGCACUCUAAGUUGACUGCCGGUGACAAACCGGAGGAAGGUGGGGAUGACGUCAAAUCAUCAUGCCCCUUAUGAUUUGGGCUACACACGUGCUACAAUGGACAAUACAAAGGGCAGCGAAACCGCGAGGUCAAGCAAAUCCCAUAAAGUUGUUCUCAGUUCGGAUUGUAGUCUGCAACUCGACUACAUGAAGCUGGAAUCGCUAGUAAUCGUAGAUCAGCAUGCUACGGUGAAUACGUUCCCGGGUCUUGUACACACCGCCCGUCACACCACGAGAGUUUGUAACACCCGAAGCCGGUGGAGUAACCAUUUUGGAGCUAGCCGUCGAAGGUGGGACAAAUGAUUGGGGUGAAGUCGUAACAAGGUAGCCGUAUCGGAAGGUGCGGCUGGAUCACCUCCUUUCUA